ensembl:lncRNA
AAUGACGUCACCGGUUUUACACAGCGGGGAACAAUCUAGCAGAGAGCAGAAUUGAUGAUGUAAGAGGGAGAGAGGGAUGAACUUCAGGAGCCGUGUUUUUGAGCAGGAGAGAGAGGGUGGGCUCUUGUGCACAAGGAAAGGUCUUGCUUUGGAGAGGAGCCUGGCUGCUUACCAACAGCGACAAGAAGGAAGGCUGAGCAAACAGAAAGCAUCAUUCUGUGUCAAGCGUGGAAUGAGACGUCAUUUUUAAUGGCUGCAGCAUAUUGUGUUGUAGAGUUUUCAUGAUUUAUUUAACCAGCCCUCUCCUGAUGACCAAGUUCCAGGAAGGUGAAGUUAUCUGGCCAGGAGAUCCAGAGUCACACCUCGAGUGGACUGCGUGGGGCUGCAUUCAGCGAGUGCACUAGUUCAACUCUAAGCCUCAAUUUUGGAAAAUGGAGUCAUAAUACCUAUCUCAUAGGAUUGUCUGAAGUCCAUGGAGUAUGAGUUCAAAAAGAAAAAAAAAAACUAUAAAUCUGCUGGAAGAAGGAAACACUCAGGUUCCUGAACAGAUCGGUGUGGGAAAGACCUGACUGACAAUUAGGAGAUGAACGAUCAUUUGGGGAGAAGCGAGCUUGCUUAGCUGCAGAGUCUAUUAUGUAUUUGGGUACAUUAUUGUUUCUGAGUAACUCUUUGUUCCAGACUGAUCCACUUGGCAUGGGUACCCGGCCGCCCAUUUGUUUUCUUCCAAAGGCUUUGAAAAACAUGUUCGUCUGCUGUUGCAUCAUAGUUGCGGCUCAUUAAAUGCCUCCUGCAGGAGACAAGCGCAUACCUUGGUUUCCCUCUGUGCAAGAAUGAGCGUGUAGAUAAAGCAAAGUCAUUCGACACCUUCCCCAGCAAUCAUGGAGUCGUUAGUAGAUAUUACUUGGCGAGCUUUUCUUAGUCACUGCUGAUGCACACACUGUCACAGUCUGAAUUACUCUGUGAGUCCUUCUGAUGUCUGAAAGCCGGCCAGCCUUACUGUUAGGGUUUACUCUGUCAACUGGACAGCUACGUUACCAAGUCUAAUUACACACAUUGAAAAAAAAAACGAAAAUGUCCUCAUAUCAAGCUGGAAAUAGAAGUCAAGGUAUAACAGAAAAGAGAGGCUUUUAAUUAAAUCAUGUCAGUUACCUUUGCCGCCAGCUCAUAGUUUAAUUCAAGUACUCUCAUUGUGAGAGCAUUGGGUCAAGAAUCCUUCCUCUGGAGUCCUGGGGAAUAUGAUCAUUCUUGUCCAGCCCCAGCCAGAUUCUGUUUGGAGGCCAUUCCCAUUGCUUUAAUUAGGGGGAAAAAUUAAUGUUGUAAAUUCAUAGCCUGUCACUCUUAAUUUCUGCACAAUCCAUCACACUCUGAGCCUGUGUGUGGCAGCUCUUUUUAAUAAAGGAUUUUGCAGAGCACCUGCUGUGACUGAAACACUUUAUCAUCUUUGCCAGCUCCAGGAGUUCUAGCAUUAUGUCAUGUUUGACUCCAAAAAAUAUUAUUAUAAGCCCUGGAAUUAGAAACCCAACAACGGAACUGGCUGAUUUCAAUUGACCAUGAAGCUAUCGUAUUUUGAGAAAUAAAACUUUGUAAGUUUUCAUUUUAAUGAAAAACUGCAACAGGACCAGAGGUGCUUGUCUGAAAUGAAUAGUUUCCACAUUUCUGGAUCCUGUUGGAUAAUGGCUCUCUCAUCCAUGAAUUAAUUAUAAAACUAGAAAUACUCGAAGAAUAUCAAAUUGUAUCCCCACACUUUCUUUUAAUGACAACUUUAUGUUUCAUCAACUCGGAGCUUAAAGGAUGGAAGUGAAGAGCAUUCAAGAGCCAAUUUUUAAAGCAUCUCACCAGCUGCAGCACCGGGAAGAUCAUCAAGGGUUUGCUAGGUGCCAGCAUCGUCCUAGUGUAAACCGGCUUAUUGAAGAGUCUCAAGUUAUGGGGAUAACUUUUAGGGAAAAACUUUUUCCUAAUAAUAGGCUUCAAGGAGCAUAUGUAAAACCUCCUCCAUUCUUUCCCAGCUGACUAACAGCUCCCUUAAUAACUCAGCCCAGCUCCACAAGUUUUAGGUGUUUUCUACUUAGUUGAAUGGUUUCUUUGGGAUUUGUGUUGAGAAUCAGUCCUGGCCGUUUUUAAACGUCAUUCUGAUCCUUUUUCCUCUUUGCCCCAUUAGUGUUCAGUCCUGAGUCUUACCAACAUUAAGAGAGAGUCUCCUGUCUCCAACCUUUUCCAGACCUAUAGGAGGAGGAGUUCUGUCACUCACUAGCUUUAAAAGUGACUUUCCUGGAGGACUGUCUCUCGACUCCAAGGAGAGGAAGGACGUGCCCCAACACACCCCUGGCAAGGAGUAGAGACAAUAGCUCAUCUUGUUGGAUUUCUCUUAUAAAUGGGCGAUAAAGUUGAGUGGAGGAGGAGGGGCUCGUUCUUCUGCAAUGGCGCCCCUAAGCAAGUACUGCAGGGAGUUAGCUGCCCUCUUCACUCUGACUUUAAUGCACAGUCAACUUCCAGAUUCUUCUUCAGCUGCAGGCC